GGAGGUGAGCAAGUGUGUGUGUGUUUCCGGCGGCUGCUAGGCUGCUGCCUCAGCCUCCGGGAUCACGGGCUCAAGCAGUAGACACGGAACUGGGUCCUAGCAGUCCACCGGCUCUCGGACCCUGCAGCCUGUCGCCAUGGACCGGGAUCUUCUACGUCAGUCGCUGAAUUGCCACGGGUCGUCAUUGCUCUCCCUACUGCGGAACGAACAGCAGGACAAUCCGCACUUCCGGAGCCUCCUAGGGUCGGCAUCCGAGCCCGCCCGYGGCCCGCCGCCCCAGCAGCACUUACCGGGCAGAAAAGAGAAAAGAGUUGACAACAUUGAAAUACAAAAAUUCAUCUCCAAAAAAGCAGAUCUGCUUUUUGCACUUUCCUGGAAAUCGGAUGCACCUGCAACUUCUGAAGUUAAUGAAGACAAUGAAGAUCAUUAUGCAGUCAUGCCACCUUUAGAGCAAUUCAUGGAGAUACCUAGUAUGGACCGGAGGGAGCUGUUUUUCCGUGAUAUUGAGCGUGGUGAUAUAGUGAUUGGAAGAAUUAGUUCUAUUCGAGAAUUUGGUUUUUUCAUGGUAUUGAUCUGUUUAGGAAGUGGCAUCAUGAGAGAUAUAUCCCACUUAGAAAUCACAGCUCUUUGUCCAUUAAGAGAUGUGCCUUCUCACAGUAACCAUGGGGAUCCUUUAUCAUAUUACCAAACUGGUGACAUCAUUCGAGCUGGAAUCAAGGAUAUYGACAGAUACCAUGAAAAGCUUGCAGUAUCUCUUUAUAGCUCAGCUCUUCCACCACACCUGUCUGGUAUUAAACUAGGUGUAAUUACUUCUGAGGAGCUUCCUUUGUAUUACAGGAGGAGUGUUGAACUAAAUAGUAAUUCUUUGGAGUCCUAUGAAAAUAUCAUGCAGAGUUCUCUGGGAUUUGUUAAUCCCGGAGUAGUUGAAUUCCUUCUAGAAAAACUUGGAAUAGAUGAAUCUAAUCCACCAUCUUUAAUGAGAGGCUUACAAAGCAAAAAUUUCUCUGAAGAUGAUUAUGCUUCUGCAUUAAGAAAGAAACAGUCUGCGUCUUGGGCCUUAAAGUGUGUGAAGAUUGGAGUUGAUUAUUUUAAGGUUGGACGCCACGUGGAUGCUAUGAAUGAAUACAAUAAAGCUCUGGAAAUAGAUAAGCAAAAUGUGGAAGCUUUGGUAGCUCGUGGAGCAUUAUAUGCAACAAAAGGAAGUCUGAACAAAGCAAUAGAAGAUUUUGAGCUUGCAUUGGAAAACUGUCCAACUCACAGAAAUGCAAGAAAAUACCUCUGCCAAACACUUGUAGAAAGAGGAGGGCAGCUAGAAGAAGAAGAAAAGUUUUUAAAUGCUGAAAGCUACUAUAAGAAAGCUUUGGCUUUGGAUGAGACUUUUAAAGAUGCAGAGGAUGCUUUGCAGAAACUUCAUAAAUAUAUGCAGGUGAUUCUUUAUUUCCUCUUAGAAACCUAGAGAUAUUUAAAAGUAAUACCAAAGUAUAAUGUUCUAGGAAAAACUUUUGAUUACCUAGUGGAACAUUAUGAAGUUCCUUUUUAGGUUUAGCUUAUCCUGAUUAGGUUUGGCAUUGCUUCAUAGUGCCUAUUCCUCUUUUUGUUUGUUUAUAUUCAAAAGUAAAAAUAGCCCUAUAAGAAAAUUCCUUUUACCUAAAUUCAGUAUAAAAGUAUGAAAACUAUCUAUGGGCUUACCUGGUAAAUAUGAAAUUAUCAGUGUUGCUACUGUAUAAUUGAGUUAAUUAUARAAAUCUUUUUGAGACAUAUUUUCAUCUGCCUUUUCCUGUAAUACUGAUGAUGAUGUUUUCUCAUGCAUUUUCUUCUGAAUUGGACCAUUGCUGCUGUGUCUGUGACAUCUGGUGCUGCUCAUCCCCAUCCACAAACUGGAAAAUGAUAUCUUAUGUAAUCAUGCAUCCAACUGGGCUGUGCUAUUUUUAAAAUGGUUUGUAUUUGAACGUGGUGAUUUCCUCCCUUCAAUUCACAUUAAUGGAAUAUAUGUAUUUGCAUCUGACCUUUAAAAUUUAUAUCUUAUUUAAAUUUUUCAAUUUUUAAAAAUUCUUUUUUUUCCACAUGCGUUUUUUCCCCCUCUUUCUUGCACUCUGGGUCAUUGGUACCACUGCAAUGGCUUCCCCUUUUUUCAUGGGAUACCAACUGCAAUAUGGUCCUCAAUACUGUUCUGGCCAUUCCAAUGAUUAAUGCCAAACAUCUAUGUGAUUAAUUUUUUUAUGUUAAAAUCAAAUACUGUUUAAUGCUGGCAAUAUGGUGAUUUGAUUAAAAUGGGUUUCUGGUUGGGGGUGGUCUUUUGAAUAUUAUUUUGCAUAUUGUGCUAUUUUUAACGUGUGGUUUUUUCCGAUAUCUGGGUUCUAAAAGAAAUCUUUGGAAUUAAGAGAAAAACAAGCUGAAAAGGAAGAAAAGCAGAAAACAAAGAAAAUAGAAACAAGUGCAGAAAAGUUGCGUAAGCUCUUAAAAGAGGAGAAAAGGUAAACUAUAAUAUUCAGUAUUUUUUAACUUAAAGCAACUACUGAGUUGAGCCCAAAGUGCCAUAAGGAGGUAAAGUAAGUAAAAAAAAAAAAAAGUAUUUCAAAUGAUAAUGUCUUAAGAAUUCUUAACAAGUAUGUGUUCAACUUGUUUUCCURUAAAAGAUUAUGUAAAAAAACAAAAUUAAUCUUAGAAUUAAAAUAUAGAAUAAGUUAUUUUAAUUUUCUGUCAUGAAGAAAUGUUUUAGAAGAGCAGGUUCUUAUCUAGGGAUGGUUUUGUUCCCCAAAAGACCUUUGUCAGUGUUUGAAAAUAUUUGUUUGUUAUAAGUGGUGGUAUGCUACUAGCAUAUGGUGGACAGAGGUCAAGGAUUCUGUUCAACAUCCUGCAAUACACAGGACCUACACCCUCACAAAGAGCUAUUUGGUCCAAAAUGUUAGUUGUGCUAAGGUGGAGGAACUAUGAAACUAAAGAGGGUCAGAUAUAAAACUUCAGUUUUCUCCCUGUGUGUUAAUAUAGUUUUAGUUUUUAAGGUAGUAUUGAAAAUGUCACUGUGUCCUUCAGAAUUGACCUGCUUACAGUGACACCUGUCCACAUAGGUAUUUUUCCCAGAAGUCAUGAUUGAUGAUAAAAAUUGGACCUCAUAGUAACAGAUUAUUGUUACAUCAUUUAUCUGAGCUACAGCUUAUAGGAAAUMUGCUAAAGAAGAAAAGAAGAAAAUCAUCCUCCUCUUCAAGUGUUUCUUCUGCUGAUGAAUCAGUUUCUUCCUCAUCCUCUUCCUCU